rnacentral:rRNA from 1 species
CGGUAGAGUGAAACUGCGGAUAGCUCAUUAAAUCGCCUCUAUUUUGUCUGAUAGUCCUCCACUGGAUAUCCGUGGAGAAUCUAGAGCCAAUACUUGCACUGAUAUCUAACAAGCUAAUGCUUCUUGUUAGAUGCAUUUAUUGGAUAUCCGAUCGCUCACAUUGCGAGCGUUAGGUGAUUCUAAAUGACUUUGCUGAUCGUAUGGCCUUGUGCCGACGACAGAUCAAACAAGAUCGCGCCCUAUCAAUUUGUUGUUAGGAUAUUUUCCUAACAAGGUUGUAACGGGUGACGGGGAAUCAGGGUUUGAUUCCGGAGAGGGAGCAUGAGAUAUAGCUACCACAUCUAAGGAAGGCAGCAGGCGCGCAAAUUACCCACUCCCGACACGGGGAGGUAGUGACGAGAAAUAUCGGCUCCUAUUCAAUUGAGUAGGAGACCGAAAUGGACGAAAUUCAGGUCCAUUCGUGAGUAGCAAGCAGAGGGCAAGUCUGGUGCCAGCAGCCGCGGUAAUUCCAGCUCUGCACGCAUAUGCGAGAUUUGUUGCAUUUAAAAAGCUCGUAGUCGGACGGUUCCACAAUUUUGUCGAUUGGACACUGCAUGUGCUGCAUAAUUUUGUCUACCUAACUAAGGAGGCAACAAAGAUUUUUGUUAGUUCACUACAGUGCUCUUAAUAUUGACUAGUUGUGGACAAACGCAAGCUCCUGAUCUGCCCUUAAUUGGGUGUAUCAGCUGUAAGUUUGCGGACGUACCUUGAACAAAUCGGCUUGUUCAAAGUAGGCCUAGUGCCUGGACAUUCUAGCAUGGAAUGUUCGAUCGAGACCUGAUCGUUUGGUCGGAAACGAGUAAGGUCCAGGUCAAAAGAGACAUUUGGGGGCAUAAGAACUCGGCCGCGAGAGGUGAAAUUCUAAGACCGGCCGAGGUCUAACAAAAGCGAAAGCAUUUGCCAAGAAUGUUUUCAUUGAUCAAGAACGAAAGUUGGAGGAGCGAAAACGAUCAGAUACCGUUGUAGUUCCAACUUUAAACUAUGCCGGCUGUCGGGGCCAGUUCGGUACAUCCG